CUAUGGCGGGGCGUAGCCGCCCAAGAUGGAGCAGAUCCCGGAGGAGGAGAGGUCCGGGGAGCCAGGGCCUGAGGCCGGGUCCGAGCAGGGGCCCGAAGAACCCGAGUCCCAGCCUGGCCCGGCCUGCCUCGCCUGGAGCCCCCUGGAGGUGGCGGAGUGGGUUCGGCAGCUGGGCUUCCCUCAGUACGAGGAGUGCUUUACAACUAACUGCAUCACUGGCCGCAAACUCAUCCACGUUAACUGCUCAAACCUGCCACAGAUGGGCAUAACAGACUUUGACCACAUGAAGGAUCCCAAAAUCAGCUAAUAAGGAAGGACCAGAAGGAAUUUUUACUUGCUGCAUUGGGGAUGAACAGAGGCUUCACCUUAUCCAGCCUCACAUGAAGUGUUCCGUGAUUCAAGGAGAUUUCAUGGCAUGUGCGAGAGCUGCUGGGGAUUGAGGAGCCUCUCUGGAGCAGAAGCAUUGCCCUCCGUUACAGGGACAACCUGGGCUUGUUUCUAGAGCACAAAGCCCCAACUGGUGCAAAAGCUGAUGCCCUCACCUUCUCUCAGUUUGUCCAAGAAGCAGGAUUAGAGCCAUAUGCUACAAUUCCACCUUUGUAAAAAGCUUCACAUGUGGAAGCAGACGCCCUCACCUUCUUUGUUCAAGAAGUUACAAUUCCAUCCUCCGGAUUAAAGAAAGGCACAUCGAUAACUGUGAUUUGUUUAGUGCUGACAGUAUGCUUAGCCAUGCACAGUCCCUUCCUUGAACACGCUUGCCAUUUAAACUUCUACUCCUAAAGAAACCCCUCUGGGAUAUUCCCAGGUGCUGAACUCCUUAGUUCGGUUACAUUAUCUUAAAGGUUCCCUUUUUUCCAUAUUGCAGGAGCUCUGUGUGGCUCAGUCAUGUCUGAAUACCUAUCAACUGCUGCUACUUCAUGUUAUCACUAAGACCAUAGAUAAAUCUUAAUCACCUUUCAUUGACACCUGCUUUCCUUAAGCGCAAGUGAUAGAUUAUAAGGCUUUCCCCCAAACUCUAGUCCAGAGGUCGGCAACCUUUCAGAAGUGGUGUGCCAAGUCUUCAUUUAUUCACUCUAAUUUAAGGUUUCACGUGCC